CCCCCCCACCCUGCAGGUCACUGUGGCUGGGAGCUCCAGGAGGACAAUGGGACCUUGGGGCAGUGACAGGAUGGCUAGGACAAUGACAGUGACUGAGCUUGGACAUGGAGCCUCUGCCAUCCAUGGUAGUCUCCAUGGGCGGGAGUCCAGUGGGCACUUCGUGGAGGGAUGAGAUGGACUCAAGAAGACAUGUUUCCUGUCGUUGCAGAGACACUUGAGGUUUGGGACAAGAACAUCAGCCGCACUGAGUCUCCCAGAACACACGUGACCCACCCCCAACCCCCUGACUAUGGGGUCACCCUGAGGGGCUGUGUGCUCUGGGUUCCUGUCUUGUGGAGAUGACUGUGACCUGUCAAUAAACCAGGGAGCACCAGAUCUAGUACAAGGAGCUUAUGGAGACCAGGCAGAAGGGGAUGGAACUAUCCAGAAGUAGGUGGCCAUUGUACUGCCUUCUGGAGAUGAAGAGAGAUACGCGUGCUGUGUGCAGCAUGAGGGGCUGCCUGAGCCCAUUACCAUGAGAUGGGGGUUGGGGGAUGAGGAGUGGAGCCCUAUAUCAGGGGUCUAGGAGCCUUCAAGAGACUCUCAGCAGAGUCAGGGCACAGGGGCACCACUAACUUUUCCUUUUUACCUCUGAUCCUUUUGCCCAGCUCACCAUGCUCACCAUGCUCACCUAGGUGGCAUUUGCUGCCCAGGUUCUUCCUGAUGCUCUCAUC
rnacentral:lncRNA from 1 species